UGGACCCCCCCCCGCGUUGCCCCCCCGCCCCCCCCUCCCCCCCCCACGCCUCACCCCCCCCUCCCCGCCUCCCCCGCCCCCCGCCCCCCCGCCCCGCCCCGCCCGCCCCCCCCGCCUCCCCCGCCCCCGGCGCGCCCCCCCCCCCCCGCCCCCCCCCCCCUCCCCCCCCGCCCCCCCGCUCCCCACCCCGCCCACCACCCCCCCCCUCCCCCCCCCCCCCCGCCCCCCCCCCCCCCCCCCCCCGCCCCCUCCCCUCCCCGCGCGCCCCCCCCCCCCCCCCCCCGCCCCCCCCACCCCCCGCCCCGCCCCCCCCUCCCCCCCCGCCCCCCCACCCCACCCCCCCCCCCCCCCCCCCCCCUCCCCCCCCCCCCCCCCCCCCCCCCCCCCCUCCCCCCCUCCCCCCCCCCCCCCCCCCCCCCCCCCCGCCACCCCCCCCGGCCCCCCCCCACCCCCCCCCCCAUUUUUAAAAAUUCCCUUGUAACCACUUGGGCUAAAAAUCAUGGCAUUGAGUGGAUUUACCAUAUUCCCUAUCAUGCACCAGCUUCUGGUAAGAUUGAACGAUUCAAUGGGUUGUUGAAAACUAUGUUGAAAGCAAUGGGUGGCGGAACGUAUAAAAAUUGGGAGAACCAUUUAGCAGAAGCCACCUGGUUGGUCAACACUCGAGGAUCUAGUAAUCGUAAUGGUCCUAACCAAUCCAGCUCCCUACGUACCGUGGAGGGAGAUAAGGUUCCUGUAAACUGGAACCUUAUGUUAAAAGCAAUGGGUGGCGGAACAUAUAAAAAUUGGGAGAACCAUUUAGCAGAAGCCACCUGGUUGGUCAACACUCGGAGAUCUAGUAAUCGUAAUGGUCCUAACCAAUCCAGCUCCCUACGUACCGUGGAGGGAGAUAAGGUUCCUGUAGUACACAUAAAGAGCGUGUUGGGAAAGACGGUUUGGGUCCUUCCAGCGUCUGGAAAGGGCAAACCUCUCCGGGGUACUGUCUUUGCCCAGGGACCUGGGUGCACGUGGUGGGUGAUGGACAAAAAUGGGAAUGUCCAAUGUGUACCACAAGGGAAUUUGAUGUUGUGGGAGAGUGCAGCCAAUGAUUUUCUGUAG
rnacentral:lncRNA from 1 species